AUCGAGUCUUCCUGCGCGGAAGAUGUAACGGGGCUAAGUCAAUAACCGAAGCCGCGGAUUCACGACUUGUCGUGAGUGGUAGGGGAGCGUUCUGUAAGCCUGCGAAGGCGGUUCGUAAGGACUGCUGGAGGUAUCAGAAGUGCGAAUGCUGACAUGAGUAACGUUAAAGCAGGUGAAAAGCCUGCUCGCCGUAAGCCCAAGGUUUCCUGCUCUACGUUCAUCGGAGCAGGGUGAGUCGGCCCCUAAGGCGAGGCUGAGAAGCGUAGCUGAUGGGAACAAGGUUAAUAUUCCUUGACCGCCGUUGAGUGCGAAGGGGGGACGGAGUGUUGAAGAUCAUCCGGGUGUUGGAUGUCCCGGUUUGUGAACGUAGGAGGCCGGCAGGCAAAUCCGCCGGCGUAUCUCCGAGGUGAAGCAUCGAGGUCCGUAUGGACCGAAGUGAUCGGAUGGGCUCCCAGGAAAAGCCUCUAAGCUCCAGCUCAACGGGACCGUACCGCAAACCGACACUGGUGGGCGAGCUGAAUAUGCUCAGGCGCUUGAGAGAACUCAGGAGAAGGAACUCGGCAAAUUGACACCGUAACUUCGGGAUAAGGUGUGCCUCGGUAGCGUGAGAGGAGAAACAUCCGGAGCGUGAAGAGGUCUCAGAGAAUCGGUGGCUGCGACUGUUUACUAAAAACACAGCACUCUGCAAAGACGAAAGUCGACGUAUAGGGUGUGAUGCCUGCCCGGUGCUGGAAGAUUAAUUGAUGGGGUGCAAGCUCCUGAUCGAAGUCCCAGUAAACGGCGGCCGUAACUAUAACGGUCCUAAGGUAGCGAAAUUCCUUGUCGGGUAAGUUCCGACCUGCACGAAUGGCAUAACGAUGGCCACACUGUCUCCUCCCGAGACUCAGUGAAGUUGAAAUGUUUGUGAUGAUGCAAUCUACCCGCGGCUAGACGGAAAGACCCCAUGAACCUUUACUGUAGCUUUGCAUUGAACUUUGAACCGAUCUGUGUAGGAUAGGUGGGAGGCUGUGAAACCGGGACGCCAGUACCGGUGGAGCCGUCCUUGAAAUACCACCCUGAUUUGUUUGAGGUUCUAACCUAGGUCGGUGAUCCCGUCUGGGGACCGUGCAUGGUAGGCAGUUUGACUGGGGCGGUCUCCU
rnacentral:rRNA from 1 species